AUACGUAAGGGGCGAGCGUUGUCCGGAUUCACUGGGCGUAAAGGGCGCGUAGGCGGCGAUACAAGUCAGAGGUGAUAGCUAUGGGCUCAACCCAUAAACUGCCUUUGAAACUGUAUUGCUUGAGUAUUGCAGAGGAAAGUGGAAUUCAUGGUGUAGCGGUGAAAUGCGUAGAUAUCAUGGAGAACACCUAUGGCGAAGGCAGCUUUCUGGGCAAAUACUGACGCUGAGGCGCGAAAGCUAGGGUAGCGAACAGGAUUAGAAACCCCUGUAGUCC
rnacentral:rRNA from 1 species